UCGGACCGCAAUGUGCGUUCAUGGAGAGGAGACCAACAAACCACAAACUUGCGCCAGUCUCAGCAAAGGCGGAAGCGUGGAAGGAGCUGAGAUGGUGACAUGCUUGCUGUGCGUCGCUGUGACAUCACUUCCUCUCCCGCGGAUGGUGUGGUAGACAGG